rnacentral:sRNA from 1 species
GCCUAGCCCAGAUGGGAACGGCAUCCUUUCCUUGCCUAUUUUAGGCAAGGAAAGAUAAAGUGGACAGCUGGAUUAGCU